UUUCUCUGUCCACAACUCUGCCAUCUGUCAUGAUGAUCACACUCCUCAUCAGGCUCAGUGUUUCACUACUCUGGAACACAGGUCUCGUUGAUGGGAAUGAUGUCACUCAGAGUCCCACAAUACUCUAUGAACAGAAAGACGAUGAUGCUAAGAUCAACUGCAGUCAUAAUAUGGGAUUUAGCUACAACCAAAUGUACUGGUACAGACAACUACCAGGAGAGGGAAUGAAACAGGUAUUAUAUAUUACUACCAAUAACAAACCAGAGUAUUCAGGGGGAUUCAGUGAAGACAAAUUCUCCGCCACCAAGACUGUAGCUGAGAGUGGAUCCUUCACAGUGAAGAAGUUGGAGACAGGAGACAGUGGAAUGUACUUCUGUGCUGACUGUCACAAACAGACCAAGUCCAGCAGACUCCUACUGCAAUAUUAAAACAACCUGGAGAUGAAGUACUGCUGACCUGCAACCAUACAAUUAAAGACUAUUACAUGAUUCUGUGGUACCAGCAGUCAGAACAAAAC